rnacentral:rRNA from 1 species
AGGGUGUAAACGCUGCAGACUUGGUGUUGGAAGCCCUUUGGGGGCAUUCAGUGCCGGAGAGAAGUUGUUAAAUCUGCUACUUGGGGAGUACGUCCGCAAGGAUGAAACUUAAAGGAAUUGGCGGGGGGAGCACCGCAACGGGAGGAGCGUGCGGUUUAAUUGGAUUCAACACCGUAAAACUCACCAGGGAAGACUGUUACAUGAAGGCCGAGAUGAAGACUCUGCCAGAUUUUCAGAGAGGAGGUGCAUGGCGUCAGUGACU